rnacentral:ncRNA from 1 species
AACACAAAGAAUUGGUCCCAGUCUUAUUAUCAACUACCACUAAACUUACACAUGCAAGUCUCAGCAACCCAGUGAAAACGCCCUUAAACCUUUAAGGAAAAGGAGCUGGUAUCAGGCUCAGUAUUCCUAGCCCACAACACCUAACAUCGUCACACCCCCAAGGGUACUCAGCAGUGAUUAACAUUGAUAGUAAGCGACAGCUUGACCCAGUUAAAGUAAAUAAAGUCGGCUAAUCCGGUGCCAGCCGCCGCGGCUACACCGUCAGACUUAAGUUGAUAGUUAACGGCGUUAAACGUGUUUUAAGUAAUUAAAAAUUAGAAUUAAACCAAGGCCAAGCCGUGAUAAGUCCGCCCCACAGAGACACAUGAACGAAAGUCAUUCUAAUUAAUCACUUGAAUCCACGACAGUUAAGAAACAAACUGGGAUUAGAUACCCCACUAUGCUUAACCGUAAAAUAUAUAUUCACACCCCCCCCCAACCGCCAGAAUAAUACGAGCUCAAGCUUAAAAUUCAAAGGACUUGACGGUGUCCCACCCAACUAGAGGAGCCUGUUCUAUAAUCGAUAAUCCCCGAUAAACCCAACCACUUUUAGCUCAUCAGUCUGUAUACCUCCGUCGCAAGCUUACCAUAUGAAUGUCAUCAAGUGGGCAAAAAGAUUAAUCCACCCACACGUCAGGUCAAGGUGCAGCCCACGAAGUGGUGAGAAAUGGGCUACAGUUUCUAACCUAGAACACACGAAAAAUUAUAUGAAAAAUAAUUAUGAAGGCGGAUUUAGUAGUAAAGGGUAAAUAAAGCGUUCCCUUUAAUCUGGCACCGGGACGCGUACACACCCGCCCGUCACCCUCUUCAACCAAAAUGACUCAGUUUAUAACAACAUAAUAUCUUCAAGAAGAGGCAAGUCGUAACAUGGUAAGCAUACUGGAAAGUGUGCUUGGCUUAACAAAAUAUAGCUUAAAUAAAGCACCUCGCUUACACCGAACUUAUGUCUGUUUAAUUCAGACUAUUUUGAGCCUCAAACUCCGCCCAAUCAAAACAAAUAUUCCUUACCCCCCACCCUUAAAUAAAACAUUUUACCAACAAAGUAAAGGCGAACGAAAAUUUUAAUAGGAGCUGUAUAUAGAGUACCGCAAGGGAAAAAUGAAAUAGAAAUGAAAUAAACAAAAGCAAACAAAAGCAGAGAUUAAUACUCGUACCUUUUGCAUCAUGGUCUAGCUAGUCUUAACAAGCAAAUUAUAUUAUUAAGCUUGUAUCCCCGAAACUAGGCGAGCUACUUAAGAACAGCCUUAGGGGCCAACCCGUCUCUGUUGCAAAAGAGUGGGAAGAUUUUUAAGUAGAGGUGACAUGCCUACCGAGCCAAGAGAUAGCUGGUUGCUCAAGAAAAGAACUUUAGUUCUGCCCCAAAUUUUAAUAUAACACUUAAUAUACACUUGGGAGUUAUUCAAAUAUGGUACAGCCUGUUUGAUAAUGAAUACAAUCAAAAAAUAUGGGUAAUACAACUCACUAUUUAACUAAGUUGGCCUGAAAGCAGCCACCCUAAAUAGCGUCACAGCUUAAUUAAUAUAAUCAUUAAUUUCAUUAAUUAUGUAAAACCCUACCAUUGUAUUGAGCGCUUUUAUAUUAUAUAAAAGAUAUUAUGCUAGAACUAGUAACAAGAAUUUAUCUCCAAAAUGUAAGUAUACCUCAAACAUGAAUAUUAUUAUAUUUAGUAACAACUCUCUCCUAGAAACCCCUACUAACCACAAUAUUAAACUUACACAAGAACACUUCUGGAAAGAUUAAAACAAAAAGAAGGAACUCGGCAAAUUUUAGUCUCGCCUGUUUACCAAAAACAUCGCCUCUUGAUCAAAUACAAGAGGCUCCGCCUGCCCAGUGAUUAUUUUAACGGCCGCGGUACCCUAACCGUGCGAAGGUAGCACAAUCACUUGUUCUCUAAAUAAGGACUAGUAUGAACGGCACCACGAAGACUAUACUGUCUCCUCUCUGCAAUCAGUGAAACUGAUCUCCCCGUGAAAAAGCGGGAAUUAUAUUAUAAGACGAGAAGACCCCAUGGAGCUUUAAGAAAAUAACAACUGUCAUAACUAUAUCAUAAAAACUUGACAAACCUGACUAUUAACUUUCGGUUGGGGUGACCACGGAGUAAAACAAAACCUCCGCAAUGAACGAGCCCGGCUCUAACUCAAGAACCACACUUCCAAAAAUCAUUAUAUUGACAUUUAUUGACCCAAACCCUUGAUCAAUGAACCAAGUUACCCUGGGGAUAACAGCGCAAUCCAUUUUAAGAGCCCCUAUCGACAAAUGGGUUUACGACCUCGAUGUUGGAUCAGGGUAUCCUAGUAGUGCAGUCGCUACUGAAGGUUGUUGUCACAAUUAAAACCCUACGUGAUCUGAGUG